rnacentral:rRNA from 1 species
UGAAUACGAGAUGCUACGGCGUCGAAGCAGUCUAUGUCAUACUUCCAAGAAAAGCUUGCACUGUCAUAAACAAAUAAUGCCUGUACCAUAACCGACACAGGUGGGUAGGUAGAGUAUACUAAGGGGCGCGAGAUAACUCUCUCUAAGGAACUCGGCAAAAUGACUCCGUAACUUCGGGAGAAGGAGUGCCUUAUUUAUAAGGUUGCAAUAACAAGACCCAAGCAACUGUUUAUCAAAAACACAGGUCUCCGCUAAGUAGUAAGACGAUGUAUGGGGGCUGACGCCUGCCCAGUGCCAGAAGGUUAAAGAAGUUGGUUAGCAUUAGCGAAGCUGAUGACUGAAGCCCUGGUGAACGGCGGCCGUAACAAUAACGGUCCUAAGGUAGCGAAAUUCCUUGUCGGGUGAGUUCCGACCCGCACGAAAGGCGUAAUGAUUUGGGUACUGUCUCAGAGAGGGACUCGGUGAAAUAGACUUGUCUGUGAAGAUGCGGACUACCUGCACCUGGACAGAAAGACCCUAUGAAGCUUUACUGUAACCUGAAAUUGAAAUUGGACUUUAUUUGCGCAGUAUAGGUGGGAGGCUUUGAAGAUAUUCUUGCGGGAAUGUUGGAGCCAUCAGUGAGAUACCACUCUUGUAAUGUUAGAUUUCUAACUUUGUAUCAUUAUCUGGUCAAAGAACAGUUUCAGGCGGGCAGUUUGACUGGGGCGGUCGCCUCCUAAACGGUAACGGAGGCGCACAAAGGUUUCCUCUGAACGGGUAGAAAUCGUAUCUAGAGUGUAAAGGCAUAAGGAAGCUUGACUGUGAGACCUACAAGUCGAGCAGGGACGAAAGUCGGUCUUAGUGAUCUGACGGUGCUGAGUGGAAAGGCCGUCACUCAACGGAUAAAAGUUACUCUAAGGAUAACAGGCUGAUCUCCCCCAAGAGUUCACAUCGACGGGGAGGUUUGGCACCUCGAUGUCGGCUCAUCGCAUCCUGGGGCGGUAGUACGUCCCAAGGGUUGGGCUGUUCGCCCAUGAAAGCGGUACGCGAGCUGGGUUCAGAACGUCGUGAGACAGUUCGGUCCAUAUCCGGUGUAGGCGUUAGAAUAUUGAGAGGAGCCUUCUCUAGUACGAGAGGACCGAGAAGGACACACCUCUGGUGUACCAGUUAUCGUGCCAACGGUAAACGCUGGGUAGCUAUGUGUGGAGCGGAUAACCGCUGAAAGCAUCUAAGUGGGAAGCCCACCUCAAGAUAAGUAUUCUCAC